UACGGAGGGUGCAAGCGUUGCUCGGAAUUAUUGGGCGUAAAGGGUAGGUAGGUGGUCUCAUUUGUCUGGGGUGAAAGCCUUGAGCUUAACUCAAGAAGUGCCCCAGAAACGGUGAGACUAGAGUUCUGGAGAGGGUCGUGGAAUUCCCGGUGUAGCGGUGAAAUGCGUAGAGAUCGAGAGGAACACCAGAGGCGAAGGCGGCGACCUGGACAGAUACUGACACUCAACUACGAAAGCGUGGGGAGCAAACAGG
rnacentral:rRNA from 1 species